GAUACAUACUGCGAACAAAAAUCGCCUCUCGAAUUGGAGUUUGGUCAUUUGUAUGAAACAGAAGACAAAUGGGAAGAACGAUAUGAACGACAGGAUCAUAAAAACCACCGACAUCAGGGAAAAGUACUUUAAUUUUUUCGGUGAUGGAUCAUACAAUAGUGGCCAUAAACGAGGAAACGAUCGACACUAUAUUGAAGAGCACGAACGAGCUUCUAGUGGUGCAGGGAUAUUUCAAAAGCGGGUUAAAUGGGCCGACAAGAAUGGAGGAUUUGGCGAACACUACUGGGACUUCAACCAUGUCUAACUCGUGAUCCACGGAUUCUCGUUAGAGUGCUACGAUGCUUGAGCCAAUCAGAUUUUUUAUGAUCAACGAUCACUCCACAAAUAAAUUUUAUCUACGUAAAAUCUGGAUAGAUGCUGUGUAAAUGUCAAGAGCGUCUGGCUGCUGUCGAUGUCUAGCGCAGAGAGAAAGGAGAAGGGCUUUGGGCCUAUGCGCAUAGAAUCUAGCAGUGUGUCGCUGCAGGCGAUUUUCGGGUUUACAAUGCAAAUCCUAACGAAUAGUGCUACGAUCAGCUGCUCUGAACCGUAAGGUGUAUGAAAAUUGAUACAAUUUUGUUCAUAUUACAUUAUCACAUAAACUGACAAAUUUUUAAGAUGAAUUCCUAAGCCUACAUUGAUGACAUUGAUUACCAUACAAAAAAUAAACUUAGAAUAAGACCAUAUCAGUAGUACGUACCGAAACUAAUCCUUAUUAAUUGGAUUAAUGCUGAAAAUAAGGAUACAUGAAAAUCGUAUAUUUAAUAAGAGAUCUGUACAAAUAUAAUAGCUCGUAGCAUACUAAAUAUGAACUUAUUGCUACCUUAAUUAUGAGAUCGUUAAAUUGCCAUUACUCGGUUUCCAUUUACUAAUUGACGUUCUAUAUCAGAAAUUCACAAUUUAAGUGUAUGAACUAUAAAGACACUCCAACAUACGGUAGCUGUUUCUAUGCGCGUGCCAAAGAUAGCGUGCCAACAUCUGCGGUCAAUUGUGCAGCGUGAAGCUGGUGCUACGUGUUAACUGGCGCUCCCACUCUGACUAACAAGACCUUGACGACCUUUCGCGUGGAUUGUUGAAUCAUGGUGGGAUGUAGAUUUUGAAAACUGAUCUUCUUAUAGAUAGUUCGACAAGAAUUAGGCGCCCAUAUUUACAAUCUUUGACAAAUUCAAUCCAUUUGUGUAAGUUUAAUAAAGGAUAAAGGUCAUGAAUCAAGCAAGCUGAAAUUCAAGCUUCAUCUUCAUAAUUCAAAGUACCGUUCUCUCUCAAAUUCCGAACAACAGUCAUGUCAUUCCGAACAGUGACGAUUUCAGAGAUGAGAAUAAAUGUUUUCACAAUUUUUUAUAUGUAGUGAUCUUGAAUCAUAACGACUGAGCAUCUUGAAAUUGAGUGAUUUUCUAGAGAACUGACUAUAAAAGUCUACACGGAGACGGGAUUCAACUCAAUUUUGAGUUUUUCAACUCCUUAGUUGAGCCCAAUUACUUAAUUUUGGCUAAUUUUCCAAAAUCCCCACUAGGUAGUUUGCCUUUA